UACCUCUUCUCUAUAGACAGGUAUGUAGUACAGGUAUGUUACCUCUUCUCUAUAGACAGGUAUGUUACCUCUUCUCUAUAGACAGGUAUGUUACCUCUUCUCUAUAGACAGGUAUGUAGUACAGGUAUGUUACCUCUUCUCUAUAGACAGGUAUGUAGUACAGGUAUGUUACCUCUUCUCUAUAGACAGGUAUGUAGUACAGGUAUGUUACCUCUUCUCUAUAGACAGGUAUGUUACCUCUUCUCUAUAGACAGGUAUGUAGUACAGGUAUGUUACCUCUUCUCUAUAGACAGGUAUGUAGUACAGGUAUGUUACCUCUUCUCUAUAGACAGGUAUGUUACCUCUUCUCUAUAGACAGGUAUGUAGUACAGGUAUGUUACCUCUUCUCUAUAGACAGGUAUGUAGUACAGGUAUGUUACCUCUUCUCUAUAGACAGGUAUGUAGUACAGGUAUGUUACCUCUUCUCUAUAGACAGGUAUGUAGUACAGGUAUGUUACCUCUUCUCUAUAGACAGGUAUGUAGUACAGGUAUGUUACCUCUUCUCUAUAGACAGGUAUGUAGUACAGGUAUGUUACCUCUUCUCUAUAGACAGGUAUGUUACCUCUUCUCUAUAGACAGGUAUGUUACCUCUUCUCUAUAGACAGGUAUGUAGUACAGGUAUGUUACCUCUUCUCUAUAGACAGGUAUGUAGUACAGGUAUGUUACCUCUUCUCUAUAGACAGGUAUGUAGUGCAGGUAUGUUACCUCUUCUCUAUAGACAGGUAUGUAGUACAGGUAUGUUACCUCUUCUCUAUAGACAGGUAUGUAGUACAGGUAUGUUACCUCUUCUCUAUAGACAGGUAUGUUACCUCUUCUCUAUAGACAGGUAUGUAGUACAGGUAUGUUACCUCUUCUCUAUAGACAGGUAUGUAGUACAGGUAUGUUACCUCUUCUCUAUAGACAGGUAUGUUACCUCUUCUCUAUAGACAGGUAUGUUACCUCUUCUCUAUAGACAGGUAUGUUACCUCUUCUCUAUAGACAGGUAUGUAGUACAGGUAUGUUACCUCUUCUCUAUAGACAGGUAUGUAGUACAGGUAUGUUACCUCUUCUCUAUAGACAGGUAUGUUACCUCUUCUCUAUAGACAGGUAUGUAGUACAGGUAUGUUACCUCUUCUCUAUAGACAGGUAUGUUACCUCUUCUCUAUAGACAGGUAUGUAGUACAGGUAUGUUACCUCUUCUCUAUAGACAGGUAUGUAGUACAGGUAUGUUACCUCUUCUCUAUAGACAGGUAUGUAGUACAGGUAUGUUACCUCUUCUCUAUAGACAGGUAUGUAGUACAGGUAUGUUACCUCUUCUCUAUAGACAGGUAUGUAGUACAGGUAUGUUACCUCUUCUCUAUAGACAGGUAUGUAGUACAGGUAUGUUACCUCUUCUCUAUAGACAGGUAUGUUACCUCUUCUCUAUAGACAGGUAUGUUACCUCUUCUCUAUAGACAGGUAUGUAGUACAGGUAUGUUACCUCUUCUCUAUAGACAGGUAUGUAGUACAGGUAUGUUACCU